UUAAUCGACAAAGGUGAUAACUUGAAUACUUUGGUCCUGACAACAGCGAUGCGCUCGGAUGUCACGGCCAAGAGGUACUCACACAGAACUCGAGAGUCAUCGAGUGUAACUCGUCAAAUCUUUGAGAACUCGUAAACAUAAAAAGUAUGCGAAUUGACGAAGUCGUCAAAAAGUAGAUGUAAAAGUAGGAGAAAAUUUGUGUUUGGUAUUGAUUGAUAUCUAUUACAUUGCUGCUAGGUCUAUAUUUAUACCCUGGCCUAAAGACUUACAACCAAAUACAACUAGGACUCAAUUAAAGUAAACAUGACUCUUACAUUUAAGGCAUACUUAAACAAUUAUAGAAAAAUAAAACAUCUAUCUAUUCCUAUGUCUGCCUUAAUCACGAUGAAGUCCUCAUCGGCUCCUGCCCCAUCCGCACGCACAUGCCUCUCCUACAAUAGUCUUUAUAUUCUUCUUCAUUGGCAUUAGCAAUCAUAACGAGUAUCGGCAAUAGUUUUCAACCCAUCAUCGGCAAAAUAUCACCUCCAAUCUAACACCACUGAACCCAAGAUAAUCUUCCCAUCAAUCGGCAUCUCUUAUCUUCAACAGUUUCCAUCGGCAUAUUCCCAUCGGUACUUUUCUGCUUAACACAAUCGACUUCCCUGCUGCCGAUCGGUCCAUUCUUGACAUGUGCUAAAAACGGUGUCAACAAAAUCAUUGGCAGAAAAAACAGCACGUAACAAAAAUUAAAAAAAUCAGUAGAAAAAAUAAUGAAACAAACUGAAGUUAACGCGAACUAGUAGAAAAAUAAUUAAAUAAGUGGAUCCCACAUGCUACCUUCUCACAGCAAAACAAUACAGAGCAUGAACUCCGUAGAGAAGAGAUAAUCAGAUCUAAAGGAUAGACACAACGAGGACGAAGAGAAAAAACAAGACCAAAUCAGAGUGCAAAGAAGACUCAUAGAGAUGAUGAAUGUGUUGAUACAAAAGUGGAUCUGCAAACACAAAGGGCUAAUACCCGAUUUCAAUUUCAAGACGUGCCAGUCGAUUUGACCUAAUAAUCAACAAGGAUGAAGAUUUGAACACUUUGGUCCCAAGAACAGCGAUGCACCCGGAUGUCACAGCCAAAAGGUGCUCAUGUGGAACUCGAGGAUCAUCGAGAAUUACACUAGAAUGUGCAACUCGCCGAAUCGAUGAGAACUCGUAAAAAGACAAGUAUGUAAAUUGACAA
rnacentral:lncRNA from 1 species